UGGAAUAUUCUGGGAGUUGUAGUCUUUCAAACAGAGCUUUGCAAGUACAUACCUGUAUUGGAACACUACAGCUCCCUGAACUUCCUAGUGUCA
rnacentral:pre_miRNA from 1 species